rnacentral:tRNA from 1 species
CAGGGGGUAUAUCAAUAUUAGGUAGAUUAUCCGCUUUGGGCACGGUUGGUUGUGGGUUCAAGCCCAUCUCCCUGA